UAAGGAAUAUUGCGCAAUGGACGAAAGUCUGACGCAGCGACGCCGCGUGGGGGAUGAAGGUCUUCGGAUUGUAAACCCCUUUCGGGAGGGAAGAUGGAGUGGGUAACCACUUGGACGGUACCUCCAGAAGCAGCCACGGCUAACUUCGUGCCAGCAGCCGCGGUAAUACGAAGGUGGCAAGCGUUGUUCGGAUUCACUGGGCGUACAGGGAGCGUAGGCGGUUGGGUAAGCCCUCCGUGAAAUCUCCGGGCCUAACCCGGAAAGUGCAGAGGGGACUGCUCAGCUAGAGGAUGGGAGAGGAGCGCGGAAUUCCCGGUGUAGCGAUGAAAUGCGUAGAGAUCGGGAGGAAGGCCGGUGGCGAAGGCGGCGCUCUGGAACAUUUCUGACGCUGAGGCUCGAAAGCGUGGGGAGCAAACAGGAUUAGAUACCCUCGUAGUCCCUGAGCGGGCUGGCAAGGCGCAU
rnacentral:rRNA from 1 species